UUCGGAUUCGGUCAGAAUUUUUGAUAAAAUUCGGAAAAAUUCGGUUCGGCCGAAUAAUUCGCAUUAUUCGGCCGAAUUGAUAACACUGAUCCAAACACAACCAUUCUUGUCGUAGCUUCGUUGAUGAGAUUGAUGAAAGGGUUUCUGGCCCCAUUUACAUUGUUACUAAUUAAUUGCUUUUUUAGAACAGGUAAUCAAAGGACUUGAUGAAGGGAUCCUAACCAUGAAAAUUGGAGGGACACGUAGGCUCUACAUUCCGGGAUCUUUGGCAUUCCCAAAAGGGCUUAAUUCAGCUCCAGGAAGACCAAGGGUUUCUCCAAAUAGUCCAGUUGUUUUUGAUGUAAGUUUGGAAUAUAUACCAGGUCUUGAAGUGGUCGAAGAGUAAGGUGAUUUGCUUCUCCAUUUUACUUUCUUGGCCUUCACCCGCUUCUCUGCUUACUGGAGCUUGAUCAUAAGACUUCCAAUUAUUCUUUUAUGGUGUAUUUUUUGUGAGUGGGACUGUUUCCUUCUUGCUUGUACUUAAGGGUUGGAUGUAAGGUUCGGUUCCCUCUCUAAUUGUACUUGGUUUUAUUUUUCCAAUAAAAUUUAAUGAGCCAUUAAGGUCCUUGAUAUUA